rnacentral:rRNA from 1 species
GACGAAUGCUGGCUGCGUGCUUAACACAUGCAAGUCGAACGGUGAACAGGGGCUUGCCCCUGGGAUCAGUGACGAACGGGUGAGUAACACGUGGGCAACCUGCCCCUCACUCUGGGAUAACUCCGGGAAACCGGGGCUAAUACCGGAUACGACCUGGUGCGACAUCGCACCGGGUGGAAAGAACUUCGGUGAGGGAUGGGCCCGCGGCCUAUCGGCUUGUUGGUGGGGUAACGGCCCACCAAGGCGACGACGGGUAGCCGGCCUGAGAGGGCGACCGGCCACACUGGGACUGGGACACGGCCCAGACUCCUACGGGAGGCAGCAGUGGGGUAUAUUGCGCAAUGGGCGAAAGCCUGACGCAGCGACGCAGCGUGAGGGACGAAGGCCUUCGGGUUGUAAACCUCUUUCAGCGGGGACGAAGCGCAAGUGACGGUACCCGCAGAAGAAGCACCGGCUAACUACGUGCCAGCAGCCGCCGUAA